UUCGGAUUGUAGGCUGAAACUACGCCUACAUGAAGCUGGAAUUGCUAGUAAUCACAGGUCAGCAUACUGUGGUGAAUACGUUCCCGGGCCUUGUACACACCGCCCGUCACACCAUGAGAGUUGAGAAUACCCGAAGCCCAUGUCAAAGUGGUCGAAGGUAGGCUUGAUGAUUGGGGUGAAGUCGUAACAAGGUACC
rnacentral:rRNA from 1 species